rnacentral:rRNA from 1 species
AUUGAACGCCGGCGGUAGGCCUAACACAUGCAAGUCGAACGGCAGCACAGUAAGGGCUUGCUCUUACGUGAGGCGAGUGGCGGACGGGUGUGGAAUCCGUCGGACUGUACGUUUUAGUGGGGGAUCACCUAGGAAAGCUAACGCUUAUCCCACAUACUCCCUACAGGUAAAAGCAGGAGAUCUUCGGCCCUUGCCCGCUGAAGUGCCCCGAUGGCGGAUUAGCUAGUUGGCGGGGUAAAGGCUCACCAAGGCGACGAUCCGUAGCUGGUCUGAGAGGAUGAUCAGCCACACUGGAACUGAGACACGGUCCAGACUCCUACGGGAGGCAGCAGUGGGGAAUAUUGGACAAUGGGCGCAAGCCUGAUCCAGCCAUACCGCGUGGGUGAAGAAGGCCUUCGGGUUGUAAAGUCCUUUCGGUGGGGAAGAAAAGAAGAAGGUUAAUACCUCGCCGUUUUGACGUUACCCAAAGAAUAAGCACCGGCUAACUUCGUG